CUCCCUCAGCCCUCCUGUUAUCUGGCUUCCUCCCUGCAACAGCCUUAUUCUUCUCCUCAGACAUCCUUAAGCCUCCAUACAUGAGAUGGUUCUUGGAGUCACGUGGGAAGUUGCAUCAUUUUUACCUUUCUCCUGGUCUCCUGCCUUGUCUUGCUUUGGAUGUUUAUCUCAUCACAUCAUCCAUCUAAUUCUCUGAUGGGACCCUCCCAAUUCUCAGAAAUGGUCCCUGGACUUACUUCAAUAUUUACCUGUUGACUUAGCUGUUUGAAGGGCCGAGGUGCCUUUGGUGUCCCAAUGCCUCUGUACUGCUCUUCCCUACACUGUUGACUCCUUUGCAAUGGUCAGCUUAGUUGUGAGACUGCUUUCAAUUUAUUAUUUAUCUUCAGACAACAGAUAGAACUAGUUGCUAUCACAAAUAAAGCCACGUUACUGGGUCAAAUCCAGAGCUACUCUCCCAAAUAAUCUAGAUGGCUUAUCCUGGUGAACCGUUUAAAAUGAACCACAAGCCUUUAUCCUGAUGACAGACUCUAGUUUUCUUUAAGUCUUAAACAUGGAACGUAAAGGAUUUAACACAUCAUGCUAAUAUUGGCACAUAAGUGGCUUUUAUUAAUUUUAGGUGUUCAGUUUGAAUGCAAUUUAUUCUUUCAGAUGUUUUCAUUUGAUAAUUUUCUCUUUCUCUUCCAGAAACCUUUUCUCCAGGAAGUAACUGAGAACUCAGUCAGGAACUUGGUUCUGCUAAAUUAAGUUGACUUGUCAGUUGUGUGUCAAGAUGCUUUCCAAGUGAAGUGUAUGAUGAGCUGUACGCUACGGAUGUAAAAGAGCAGCUGAAGACAGCUGUGCAUGUGGCUGGGACAUUUUUGCCUAAACUGAAGGAAGCCAAGACAAAUGCUGUUGGAAUACCAGCUGCAAGGGACAAGGACUAUCUCUGUGUUUGUAGACUAUUUAAUUAUAACAACCUAUCGCAAGACUUGCACAUGAACUGCAUCCUUGAGGCUGAGCCAGGAACAAGAGGAAAAUUGCCAGGAAAGAAACAAAUUCUUUGCAGCAUUCCAGUUACAUUCGCUAGUGGAAGCUGACAAUUUAGGGGACUGCAAGGACUGACAUGGCAGGCUGCAAGUUGCUAAUAGGCUUUGGUUUACUUUUUAAGUGCAAAGAGAAAUGUAACUGUAAGGAACUGCAGAAAAGCCCAGCAGAAGCAGCAUUCCUCAGAGGCCAGAAGAAGAAAAACUUAAUUAGUGAACAGAGCUAAGUAAAUUAUUCAGAGUGAAUUUUUUGUAACCCUUUUUUGGCCAUUCUUCACUCACCCGUGGCUCUGAACUCUCACUUUGUGUCUCCGAUUCCAUCCUCUUCCCUUCACCAUCGUCCCCUCUACUCACCCUUGGCUCUUUCUUCCACUUUUCUACUGCUUACUGUCACCUGUCUACCAUUCCCACUCAUGUCUCACCUUGCCAUUUGCCCCAACCCACCUCAUCUUCUGUGUGGACCGUCUUGGAGCCCACUCUUACCGGCUUCCACUCUCUCCUGGACAUCAUAAUUCAAAUAUGAUUUUGUUCCUUCCAUCCUUAAAAGAAAAAUGGGUCUUGUCUUGCCCCCACUAAGUCUCCCAACUGCUGGCUUUGAAAUGGUAUUUAAAGUUCUGUUUUUUGGGGAAUUGGCUUAUAGGGGUGUGUAUAUGUGUUUGCAUUAUAAGGGUUCGGAGAUGGGCAGCAGGGUUUAAUUGAUUUCUAAAGAGCUUGGGUCUAACGCGCACAAAGCUUCUCAUAGCCCUGGAAGCAGACUGGCUGUGUAACACAACAAGACCAAUGGAUGGACAUAGCCUAAGAAUUGAGGCUGGCAUGCCAUAACACAAGAUCACAGCCUUCAAGGCAAACAGGUUGUCUAACACAACAAGGACACACAGCCUGGGAACCAAGGAAGUAUGUACCAUACUGUCCCAUAACACAAGAUAAGUGAUACCAACUACAAGGCCUCGGAGCAGAGUGGGGCCCAAGUCCCAGUUUUGGGGGAACAGACCAAAUUAGGAAAAGGCCUGGAAGGCUAUGUAGAUAUGUGACCACACAGAGACAACCAACUGGAGAUAGCCACAGAUGAAGAGUCAUCAAGAGAGAAGGAGACUGGAAGAUAUAGAAUUGCUUGAUUGUUUGUAUUGUGGCUUUUCUGUUAUCACUCUGCAUCAAUAAAUUUGCCUAUUAUUGAA